UUGUCCCCCUUUGUUCUAUCUUCUUCAUAGUUAUUGACCUCAUAACACGGUCGUGUGGUUUAUGAUAUUACUAGUGUAAUUGACGAAAGCAUUUUAAGGACAUGAGCUAUUUGCAAAUAUUCAUAAAUGCUAUUGUUGUAGCUUUGAUGGCUAUGUACGUGUAUGAAAAUGAAAGAAAAAUGGAGAAAAUGUCGACUAAGCAUGAUCAAACAGGGGUGACAUACAUCAGAUGGGGUAAAACAAAAUGUGAUGGAUCUAACACCGAAACAAUAUAUUCAGGGGCAAGCGUAAACUACAUAUGUUUACCUGACAACCCGGAC